UGAGUUAUUGAAUCUAGUGCCAUUAUGUUAAAAUCAUUUUAUUUGUCCCACAAUAAUUACUUGAUUUUUUUUUUCUUGCAGGUAAUCUUAAAUGUGGCCUGGUGUGGUUUGCUGCAGAGAAAGGAGCUGAACUGUCUCUGUCCUGCGUAAAGCCCCGAACAUGGAUGAAAACUGUCUUCAGGACCCACAGGAAACACUGAUCAUCCCACUGCAGCAGCACUGGAGACCAGUCUGAUGGAGUGUGGGUUUCCUCCAGGUGCUCCAACAUGUUCUCCCUGUGUCAGUGUGGGUUUCCUCCAGGUGCUCCGACACAUUCUCCCUGUGUCAGUGUGGGUUUCCUCCAGGUGCUUCAACAUGUUCUCCCUGUGUCAGCGUGGGUUUCCUCCAGGUGCUCCCACAUGUUCUCCCUGUGUCAGCGUGGGUUUCCUCCAGGUGUUUCAACAUGUUCUCCCUGUGUCAGCGUGGGUUUCCUCCAGGUGCUCUGACAUGUUCUCCCCGUGUCAGCGUGGGUUUCCUCCAGGUGCUUCAACAUGUUCUCCCUGUGUCAGCAUGGGUUUCCUCCAGGUGCUCCCACAUGUUCUCCCUGUGUCAGUGUGGGUUUCCUCCAGGUGCUCCAGCUUCCUCCCACAGUCCAAAGACAUGCAGCGUCCCGGUGGCACCGAGCACGCUCCUAAAAUGACCGGAGGCUCCUCCUCGGCGAUGAUGUUGAUUUACAGGGAGAUGUUGGCAGACGAUGAUGAUAUUUCAGGAGCUUGCCGGCCGAUUGGUCUGAGGAUCCUGCAUUUCCAUAAACAGGGGCUCCAUAUCCAUGUCCGAGCCCUCGUAUAUAUAUAUACUCCCUGAGGAUGAUUCGCUCCCACUGCUGCCCUCCUCCUUGACUCUGUCUCAUCGUAGGCCGUGAAGAAAAGACACCGCCAUCAUG